AUGUUCCCUUUGUAUUCCAGGCAAACAAACCUUCAAAAAGCUUCAAGGAUAGUCGAGGGCAAACACUUCGCGAGUUUUGAUAGAGCCAGUGAUGUGACUCAAACUCUCAGUUUCCCUCUCUCGCUCACGCGCGCGCGCGCGCACACGAGCUUGCACGCCCCUCUCUCGCUGUCGUUCACGGGAGCGCGCCUGCAUUCACUACCUGGAAAAAACAAACUGAGAAGGAAAAAAAGAUGCAAUGUAGGUAAAGCGGCAAAAUGCAUGCAUAGCAAGGACAAAACAAUCUUCUGCAGCUGCAGCACAAGGGUAAGCAAAUCUAAGGCUGACCUCAAACAGAGCAGGCUAUUUAUUGUCUUAAAUAUUCAGAGUCUUUCUUGUGCUGUCAGCCGUCUGCUCGUAUUAAGGCUUUAACGAUAGAUGUGCUUUCUUCUCAGGCAUCUGUGUUUGUAAUGCAGCGGGGGACUUUUUUCAAAGAGACAACAUCUGAUAACAUCUGCAGAGCCAGAGGCUCCCUCUUAUGAUUGAGUAGGGAGAGAGAGAUCAAGAAAGAAGAAAGGAAAGAUACACAGGAUGCAACACUGGGUGCUGAGAAACACAAGUGAACUAAAAGGACAAGUGAAGAGUUCAUAACCAAAGCUCCAGAUAACAAGUGAGUUAGUGUUUUUUUCUUUUUUCAGACCAGAAGGUUAAAAAUGUUCCUCUCUAAUUCACCAAAUUAAUUAAAUCAAAGCUUAAAUGUAACUUUUAGUCAAAUGUGUGCUUCAUUAAACCAUUAGUCAUAAAAAGGUCUUCUAAACACAUUUAAUUAUCAUUUGUACAGUCAAGGACUAAUAUAAUUGAUUCUUGCAGACCGUCUUCCAUUAGAUUUAUUCAGAUUAAACUCGACAGGAAAAUCGACACACAUGCUUGUAAAGUAAAAAAUACAUUUUAUAUACAGCUGGCAAGUGUGUAUGUAAAAACAUCAAGACUUUGAUAAUCAUACCACAUUUUUCAUUGCAUUUAAAUUGAGCUGAAGCUGAAGAUCUGAAUCUGUUCUCCUUAAGAACACGCUGGUAAGUACUGCACGAUAUCUGAUCAGAUAACAAAUUACAGAGUAAUUUAACUGACCCCAGCACAUCCCUGGUGAUCCUGGUGAAUUCUAGCAAAUGGAAAUUUUUACUGUUGCUGCAUGGGUGCACAGAAGAUCAAGGCUGGCUUUGUUCAGCAGAGCCUGAGCCCCUCAGAUGGGUCUGUUUGUACAGUGGUGUCUUCACUCUUUGUGUUCCCACGUCGAAGCCCCUUUUAAAGCCUCAUCCAGUCGCCAUGCACUGAAAAUAAAUAGCUAAGCUAGUGUCUGCA
ensembl:lncRNA